UGAAUACGAGACGCUAAGGCGUCGAAGUAGUGUAUGUCAUACUUCCAAGAAAAGCUUGCACUGUCAUAGAUAAAAAACGCCUGUACCAUAACCGACACAGGUGGGUAGGUAGAGUAUACUAAGGGGCGCGAGAUAACUCUCUCUAAGGAACUCGGCAAAAUAACUCCGUAACUUCGGGAGAAGGAGUGCCUUAUUCGUAAGGUUGCAAUAACAAGAUCCAAGCAACUGUUUAUCAAAAACACAGGUCUCCGCUAAGUCGUAAGACGAUGUAUGGGGGCUGACGCCUGCCCAGUGCCAGAAGGUUAAAGAAGUUGGUUAGCAAUUGCGAAGCUGAUAACUGAAGCCCUGGUGAACGGCGGCCGUAACAAUAACGGUCCUAAGGUAGCGAAAUUCCUUGUCGGGUAAGUUCCGACCCGCACGAAAGGCGUAAUGAUUUGGAUACUGUCUCGGAGAGGGGCUCGGUGAAAUAGACUUGUCUGUGAAGAUGCGGACUACCUGUACCAGGACAGAAAGACCCUAUGAAGCUUUACUGUAACUUGAAAUUGAAAUUGGACUUUAUUCGCGCAGUAUAGGUGGGAGGCGUUGAUUAUAAUCUUGUGGGAUUAUUGGAGCCAUCAGUGAGAUACCACUCUUGUAAUGUUAGAUUUCUAACUUUGUAUCAUUAUCUGGUCAAAGAACAGUUUCAGGCGGGCAGUUUGACUGGGGCGGUCGCCUCCUAAACGGUAACGGAGGCGUACAAAGGUUUCCUCUGAACGGUUAGAAAUCGUAUCUAGAGUGUAAAGGCAUAAGGAAGCUUGACUGUGAGACCUACAAGUCGAGCAGGGACGAAAGUCGGUCUUAGUGAUCUGACGGUACUGAGUGGAAAGGCCGUCACUCAACGGAUAAAAGUUACUCUAAGGAUAACAGGCUGAUCUCCCCCAAGAGUUCACAUCGACGGGGAGGUUUGGCACCUCGAUGUCGGCUCAUCGCAUCCUGGGGCGGUAGUACGUCCCAAGGGUUGGGCUGUUCGCCCAUGAAAGCGGUACGCGAGCUGGGUUCAGAACGUCGUGAGACAGUUCGGUCCAUAUCCGGUGUAGGCGUUAGAAUAUUGAGAGGAGCCUUCUUUAGUACGAGAGGACCGAGAAGGACAUACCUCUGGUGUACCAGUUAUCGUGCCAACGGUAAACGCUGGGUAGCUAUGUAUGGAGUGGAUAACCGCUGAAAGCAUCUAAGUGGGAAGCCCACCUCAAGAUAAGUAUUCUCA
rnacentral:rRNA from 1 species